UACGUAGGGUGCAAGCGUUGUCCGGAAUUAUUGGGCGUAAAGGGCUCGUAGGCGGUCCAUCACGUCGGGAGUGAAAAGCUGGGGCUUAACCCCAGUCCUGCUUCCGAUACGGGUGGACUAGAGGUAGGCAGGGGAGAACGGAAUUCCUGGUGUAGCGGUGAAAUGCGCAGAUAUCAGGAAGAACACCCGUGGCGAAAGCGGCUCUCUGGGACGGUACUGACGCUGAGACGCGAAAGCGUGGGGAGCGAACAGG
rnacentral:rRNA from 1 species